rnacentral:rRNA from 1 species
UACGGAGGGUGCAAGCGUUGCUCGGAAUUAUUGGGCGUAAAGGGCAGGUAGGUGGUCUUAUUUGUCUGGGGUGAAAGCCUUGAGCUUAACUCAAGAAGUGCCUCAGAAACGGUAAGACUCGAGUCCUGGAGAGGGUCGUGGAAUUCCCGGUGUAGCGGUGAAAUGCGUAGAGAUCGGGAGGAACACCAGAGGCGAAAGCGGCGACCUGGACAGGCACUGACACUCAACUACGAAAGCGUGGGGAGCAAACAGG